AACGAACGCUGGCGGCAGGCUUAACACAUGCAAGUCGAACGCCCCGCAAGGGGAGUGGCAGACGGGUGAGUAACGCGUGGGAACAUACCCUUUUCUACGGAAUAGCUCUGGGAAACUGGAAUUAAUACCGUAUACGCCCUACGGGGGAAAGAUUUAUCGGGGAAGGAUUGGCCCGCGUUGGAUUAGCUAGUUGGUGGGGUAAAGGCCGACCAAGGCGACGAUCCAUAGCUGGUAUGAGAGGAUGACCAGCCACAUGGGGACUGAGACACGGCCCAAACGCCUACGGGGGGCAGCAGUGGGGAAGAUUGGACAAUGGGCGCAAGCCUGAUCCAGCCAUGCCGCGUGAGUGAUGAAGGCCUUAGGGUUGUAAAGCUCUUUCACCGAUGAAGAUAAUGACGGUAGUCGGAGAAGAAGCCCCGGCUAACUUCGUGCCAGCCGCCGCCGUAA
rnacentral:rRNA from 1 species